rnacentral:rRNA from 1 species
AAUAGGAUUCCCUUAGUAAUGGCGAAUGAACAGGGAUCAGCUCAGUAUGGAAAUCGGGGCUUCCCAGCCUUGAAUUGUAGUCUCAAGAGGUAUCGCCAACGGAGGCGCAGAUGUAAGCCUCUUGGAAAAGAGCAUCAAUGAGGGUGAGAAUCCCGUUUGUCAUCUGCAGUCCCCCGUGCACGGUGUAUCUUCUAAGAGUCGCGUUCCUCGGGAUUGGAGCGUAAAGUGGGUGGUAAAUUUCAUCUAAGGCUAAAUAUGGGUUCGAGACCGAUAGCAAACAAGUACCAUGAGGGAAAGAUGAAAAGGACUUUGAAAAGAGAGUUAAAAGUGCCUGAAAUUGCUGAAAGGGAAGCGAAUGGAACCAGUGCUCUUGGCGAGAUUGUUGUGCGCUAUGGUGAUUGCUGGCUGCUUCAGCGCAAGCGGGGUAGUUGGUACUGAGCCUGCCGCGCGCAGUGUUUCUUACCUUGUGCGUCACCGUCGGUUCACAGGCGAGGAUACUUCUGAGGACAUGGUAACUCUUCCACGGAGGUGUGAAUGUCUUUGGUAAUACUCGUUUGUAGACCGCUCACCUUCGGGU